UACGUUGGUGGCGAGCGUUGUCCGGAUUUACUGGGCGUAAAGAGCGCGCAGGCGGCUGGGCAAGUCCGAUGUGAAAGCUUCCGGCUUAACUGGAAAAUUGCAUCGGAAACUGCUCAGCUUGAAGGUGGGAGAGGGUAGCGGAAUUCCCGGUGUAGUGGUGAAAUGCGUAGAUAUCGGGAGGAAUACCGAUGGCGAAGGCAGGUCUCUGGGCUAUAACUGACGCUCAUGCACGAAAGCGUGGGGAGCAAACAGG
rnacentral:rRNA from 1 species